UCCUACGGGAGGCAGCAGUGAGGAAUAUUGGUCAAUGGAGGCAACUCUGAACCAGCCACGUCGCGUGAAGGAUGACGGCCCUACGGGUUGUAAACUUCUUUUAUACAGGAAUAAAGUGAGUCACGUGUGACUUUUUGCAUGUACUGUAUGAAUAAGGAUCGGCUAACUCCGUGCCAGCAGCCGCGGUAAUACGGAGGAUCCAAGCGUUAUCCGGAUUUAUUGGGUUUAAAGGGUGCGCAGGCGGAAGAUUAAGUCGGCGGUGAAAUUUUGCAGCUCAACUGUAAAAGUGCCAUCGAUACUGGUUUUCUUGAGUGUGGAUGAAGUAGGCGGAAUUUGUGGUGUAGCGGUGAAAUGCAUAGAUAUCACGAGGAACUCCGAUUGCGCAGGCAGCUUACUAGGCCAUAACUGACGCUCAGGCACGAAGGCGUGGGGAUCAAACAGGAUUAGAUACCCUGGUAGUCCACGCAGUAAACUAUGAUUACUCGCUGUUUGCGAUACACAGUAAGCGGCUUAGCGAAAGCGUUAAGUAAUCCACCUGGGGAGUACGUUCGCAAGAAUGAAACUCAAAGGAAUUGACGGGGGCCCGCACAAGCGGAGGAACAUGUGGUUUAAUUCGAUGAUACGCGAGGAACCUUACCCGGGCUUGAAAUGCAUCUGACAGGAGCAGAGACGCUCUCUCCCUUCGGGGCAGAUGUGUAGGUGCUGCAUGGUUGUCGUCAGCUCGUGCCGUGAGGUGUCGGCUUAAGUGCCAUAACGAGCGCAACCCUCAUCAUUAGUUACCAUCAGGUUAAGCUGGGGACUCUAAUGAGACUGCCAUCGUAAGAUGCGAGGAAGGUGGGGAUGACGUCAAAUCAGCACGGCCCUUACGUCCGGGGCGACACACGUGUUACAAUGGGUGGUACAAAGGGCAGCUACAUGGCGACAUGAUGCUAAUCUCCAAAACCACUCUCAGUUCGGAUCGGAGUCUGCAACUCGACUUCGUGAAGCUGGAUUCGCUAGUAAUCGCGCAUCAGCCACGGCGCGGUGAAUACGUUCCCGGGCCUUGUACACACCGCCCGUCAAGCCAUGGAAGCCGGGGGUACCUGAAGUUCGUAACCGUCAAAGGAGCGACCUAGGGUAAAACUGGUGACUGGGGCUAAGUCGUAACAAGGUAGCCA
rnacentral:rRNA from 1 species